UGGCGGACGGGUGAGUAAUGUCUGGGAAACUGCCCGAUGGAGGGGGAUAACUACUGGAAACGGUAGCUAAUACCGCAUAACGUCGCAAGACCAAAGAGGGGGACCUUAGGGCCUCUUGCCAUCGGAUGUGCCCAGAUGGGAUUAGCUAGUAGGUGGGGUAAUGGCUCACCUAGGCGACGAUCCCUAGCUGGUCUGAGAGGAUGACCAGCCACACUGGAACUGAGACACGGUCCAG
rnacentral:rRNA from 1 species